AUGCUCUCGUUGGCUGGUCGUCUCUACAUAUUUAUCGCCAAAUCCACUUGCUCCAGGUCAUCUGGAGCAAGUGGAGGCUACCCUCACAGUGCAGACUACUUUUUGAAAAGGGAAUUUUCACUGUGUAGGCUCGAAUUUGGCUCUGGCACGACACUUUAUGUGACAGACGGCAAUACUCGAAAACCCAAAGUGACUGUGUACCCAGCGUCCAGCUCUGAGUCGAAUGGGAAGACCACCCUGCUAUGUCUGGCUAGAGACAUGUUUCCAGACUUGGUCAAGAUCUCAUGGAAGAUGGAGGAUGGAAUAACGGAGGUGCCCAAAGCAGAGGGGGAACAGCUGGAAAAGAGGGAGGAAGGACAGACGACCAGUAUGAUCAUCAUUGAUAAAGAGAAUACGUACAGGAACAAAUACAUCUGUUCUGUGGAGCAUGAAUUGGGCGCUCAACAUUUUGACAUCCCAAAAGAAGAUACUCCAACCACCAUGUCUUCACCAACCUGCCCGUUCAGAAAUGACAUGCAGGAGUAUGUCGAUGAUUCCUUCCAGUCAACGUUUAGUCUGAACCUGGCCUCUGUGGUUUACACAGUGAUGAUAGUGAAGAGCAUGGUGUACUGCUGUGGGCUCUCUCUCCUGCUGCACAACAGGAACCUGGGAAGAGGACCCAGCACCUGAAGACCUCUAUGAGGAAAAUCAUUUAUGCGCUUUUUUACAUUGAUACAAUGUUGUUGUUUUUUACAUUGAUACAGCUUGCAUGACAUUUUCCUUGCCUAACACAGCCUGCUCAAAUUAACCAAGUUGCUCAAAAUAACCAUAUUAUUUCAGAUGCUGAUGGAUUUAAUAAUCGCUGCCUUUGUGAACAAAAAGUUGCAACAACAAUGGUUCUGUAAAUGAUUGUAAAAAACAUUUUUACAGUUCCGUGCUGUUUUCUAUGAAUAAAGGUUACUUAAAACCCCCAAAACAUUGCAUCUCUUUACUAUAAGAUAAUCUUUUCAUAUUUGGGGAAAUGUUAUUUAAUUGAAUCUCAUCAGAAGCGGAAAAAUAAGAUCAUAAAUUCACCAAUUAUCUGUUUUCAACUUGUUUGCGUCAGUGUGCAUGUUCCCGGCGCAGAUGUUGAGCCUAGACUUAAUAGUGGUGAGAUAAUAUGGUUAAUGUUUCUUUGGUUUUCUAAGUACAUGUGAAACGGUAGUUACUGGAAACAAGAUAUAGCUAACUGCAUAACCACAGCUCGAGUGUGUGAUGAGUUGGUUAUCCAAAGCUGCUGGAUGAUUCAUUUUGCCUUGAUCUGUUUUUACCUCUAGUUGUGGGUUCGGCUCCUGCCAUCAAAUUGAAGAAUAUGACAGCGAUGGCAGACGAGUCCGUAAUGGUAGUUUAUGGUUCUUGCAUUUGUAGAAUUAGAGAUCUAUGGCAAAGCGAACGUUUUAUACUUUUGUUUAUGUGUACGUUU